rnacentral:lncRNA from 1 species
ACAAAGAGAGGAAAAGAAAAACAAGAAACCUAGGUGGGAAAAGUAAAGAAAAAGUGUGGGAUUUCAAGGAAUCAAGCAAUCAAAGGUAAAAUUUCUUGAUUUUGACUUGUGAUCUACCUUUCCCAUGCUUUUCUCCUUAUUUUCCAUGGUUAGAUUUCAUGUUUUCAUGGUGAAUUCAUGGCUGCCCAAAUGGGUAUGGAGAGAGAAUGAAGUUAGAUUGAUUUGAUUUUAAGUUAUGUUAGUGUUUUAAGUUAGUUUAGCAUAUUUAGAAACAAAACAACAAGAAAAGAAUUCAUUUUCCCCCAUUACCAUCAUUGGCCGAAUUUCCUAGGAAGAAUAUUGUGGCUGAAUUUGAUGAUAUUUCAUGAUAUUUUGGUGAUAUUUUAUGUUUGGUGAGGCUAGAAAUUAAAUGGGAAAUUUUAGUGCAAAAAUACGAAUUUUUGCUCAACAUAUAGACAUGUGUAUUUAUUGACCCGGGAUCGAUAAAUUGAACCUCAUUCACAGUCACUGAGGUAAUUUAGGUAUAAUUGGAGUGUAGAAAGUGAAAAGAAUUGAUUUGGAGUUAAAUUGAAGAUUUUAGCCGAUUAGACCAAGAAUAGCGCGAAUUAGGUCGAAUACCGUAUUUAAACGGCUAUUCGGACAUUUUUGCAUUUCAUAUCAUGCAUUAGUAGCCUAAAUUAGUUUAAUUUCAAUUUAGUAUCAAUGUGGUGAAUUUCUUAAUUUUGUACUGUGUCAAGGUGGUGAGUCCUCCGAUAAAGGCAAGAAAAUUGCAUCCGAGGACCAGUAGACAGAGUACUUCAAAAGUCUGCAUUCUAGACAUUGUGAGUAAACUUACUAUCAUUUUAAUUAUCUAGGGUGGUUUUUAGAUGAUUUCAUGAAUUCUAUGGAAAAAUGGAUUUAAAAGGUAAAUUUUCAUGUUUUAUGAAUAAAGGUGUUCCAAUGAAAUUAAAUUAUAAAUUGUUUUGAAACUAAUAAUGAUUUUAAAAAAAAUAGAGUGCACGGAGACUUUUAAUUGUGGCAAUUUGAUUGUUUAAAUUGAUGGCUUAUGUUAUAUUGUUAUUGUGUUGGCAUGACUGGCUGGGCUGUGUUUUAUGAAUUGUAUGAAUUGUUUUAGUUUACCCUUGCAGGCUAGGUAGUAUUUCAUUAGCCCUGUCAUGCCCUCAAAAUUUUAUUAUAUGGUGGAUAUAUAUUAAUUAAUCACUGUAGUAAGGGGUUUUUGGGGACCAGGCUUCUAGAAAGGCACAGUAAACCCCAUUAUAUUCUUACCUCGAACGAAGAGGCGCGUAGGGUAUCUCCUGGGGUAAAGUUUAGGGUUCACUUCACACCAAACCACCACGUGAGGGGGAACUCAGCCAACGCCAAGGAAUGGCUAUGUUUCAAAAUUAAAAUAUGAUUUAUGCGAAAUGUGAAUUUUUAACAGCCUUGGCAGUCUCGAUAGGAUGCCUCGGCCACGGUGUCCCUAAAAAUGGAUUUAUGGCACAAGCCUAAUUUUUAUGAGAUUCAUAAGCCUCUUCACGUAUUUUAAAUGAAAUGUAUUCUAAUGUUGUGACCCAGUUUACGAUGAUUUACUUUAUUAUCUCCAUGUACUCAACUCUAGAUGUUUAUGAUGAUGUCUGUUUACUCAUUGGGAUUUUAUGAUCUCACCACCCUCCUUUCCACCCGUUUCAGGUUCAGUAUAAACUGUAGAUAGCUGAUCUCAUUUAGGACUAUCGUUGGAUCUGCAUUUUCCAAACCGCAGGUUCACAACUCUCUUUACUUUUGUUUAUUCGAGGGCCCUCUUGUUAUUGUAAAUUUAAUUAAAUAUUUUGGCUUACUGUAUUACAGUAUGUAUAAAUUUAUUUAACUUUUACGCUAUAAAA